GGCGUGCCUAAUACAUGCAAGUCGAGCGAACAGACGAGGAGCUUGCUCCUCUGACGUUAGCGGCGGACGGGUGAGUAACACGUGGAUAACCUACCUAUAAGACUGGGAUAACUUCGGGAAACCGGAGCUAAUACCGGAUAAUAUAUUGAACCGCAUGGUUCAAUAGUGAAAGACGGUUUUGCUGUCACUUAUAGAUGGAUCCGCGCCGCAUUAGCUAGUUGGUAAGGUAACGGCUUACCAAGGCAACGAUGCGUAGCCGACCUGAGAGGGUGAUCGGCCACACUGGAACUGAGACACGGUCCAGACUCCUACGGGAGGCAGCAGUAGGGAAUCUUCCGCAAUGGGCGAAAGCCUGACGGAGCAACGCCGCGUGAGUGAUGAAGGUCUUCGGAUCGUAAAACUCUGUUAUUAGGGAAGAACAAAUGUGUAAGUAACUAUGCACGUCUUGACGGUACCUAAUCAGAAAGCCACGGCUAACUACGUGCCAGCAGCCGCGGUAAUACGUAGGUGGCAAGCGUUAUCCGGAAUUAUUGGGCGUAAAGCGCGCGUAGGCGGUUUUUUAAGUCUGAUGUGAAAGCCCACGGCUCAACCGUGGAGGGUCAUUGGAAACUGGAAAACUUGAGUGCAGAAGAGGAAAGUGGAAUUCCAUGUGUAGCGGUGAAAUGCGCAGAGAUAUGGAGGAACACCAGCGGCGAAGGCGACUUUCUGGUCUGU
rnacentral:rRNA from 1 species